CCUCUGAUAAUACCGAUGACAGUACCGCGUUGUCUUCCCCUAUCCUUAGGUAUACCUAUCAAGCGAUACAGUCUAAUACACGUUUAAACAAAAAGACUAGCAUUACACAGUGAUUAUUGUUGUUGCGUUGCCAUU